rnacentral:rRNA from 1 species
CCUACGGGAGGCAGCAGUAGGGAAUAUUGCUCAAUGGGGGAAACCCUGAAGCAGCAACGCCGCGUGGAGGAUGAAGGUUUUCUGAUUGUAAACCCCUUUUUUUAUAGAAGUUAAUGACGGUAUCUAACGAGUAAUCUCCGUCUAACUCCGUGCCAGCAGCCGCGGUAAUACGGAGGGUGCAAGCGUUACUCGGAAUCACUGGGCGUAAAGGGCGCGUAGGCGGGAUAGCAAGUCAGAUGUGAAAUCCUAUGGCUUAACCAUAGAACUGCAUUUGAAACUGUUAUUCUAGAGUAUGGGAGAGGUAGGUGGAAUUCUUGGUGUAGGGGUAAAAUCCGUAGAGAUCAAGAGGAAUACUCAUUGCGAAGGCGACCUGCUAGAACAUAACUGACGCUGAUGCGCGAAAGCGUGGGGAGCAAACAGGAUUAGAUACCCCAGUAGUC